ACCUGGAAGAGGGAAGGGGACUGGAAGGAGGCAGCUGAGUCACCCGUCUGGAAAAAUAAAGAAGGAAAAAGCUGAAAAUUUUUUCCUUCCAUCAAAACAGGAAGGAGUUGGGGUGGCGGGAGAUGAAGGGGAGAUGAGCGUGGGGACUGAGGUGUUAUUCUCCAACGUGAGGUGGUCUUCCGGGAUGGGAAGCCCUUCUCUGCCUGCACACAGGGACCCACCAGUCAGCCUGCCCCCCCCCCUGGGUGUUUUUCCUGGGCUGUUUCUGGGUGUUUUGAUCUGACUUCUUUCCAACAUUUACCUUGAUGCACACAGACCCAAGUCCCACUCCCAC
rnacentral:lncRNA from 1 species